GGUCUAUUAGCUUAUAAAAAGUCUUGAAUUCUUACUUCAUUGGAAAAGAAAAACUAAUUUCUUAUAGAUCA
rnacentral:tRNA from 1 species